rnacentral:rRNA from 1 species
GCUUGUCUCAAAGAUUAAGCCAUGCAUGUCUAAGUAUAAAUCUUUUACUUUGAAACUGCGAACGGCUCAUUAUAUCAGUUAUAGUUUAUUUGAUAGUCCCUUACUACUUGGAUAACCGUAGUAAUUCUAGAGCUAAUACAUGCGUCAAUACCCUUCUGGGGUAGUAUUUAUUAGAUUGAAACCAACCGCUUCGGCGUGAUGUGGUGAUUCAUAAUAACUAAACGAAUCGCAUGGCCUUGCGCCGGCGAUGGUUCAUUCAAAUUUCUGCCCUAUCAACUUUCGAUGGUAGGAUAGUGGCCUACCAUGGUAUCAACGGGUAACGGGGAAUUAGGGUUCUAUUCCGGAGAGGGAGCCUGAGAAACGGCUACCACAUCCAAGGAAGGCAGCAGG